UACCUAACCAGAAAGCCACGGCUAACUACGUGCCAGCAGCCGCGGUAAUACGUAGGUGGCAAGCGUUGUCCGGGAAUUAUUGGGCGUAAAGGGCUCGCAGGCGGUUUCUUAAGUCUGAUGUGAAAGCCCCCGGCUCAACCGGGGAGGGUCAUUGGAAACUGGGGAACUUGAGUGCAGAAGAGGAGAGUGGAAUUCCACGUGUAGCGGUGAAAUGCGUAGAGAUGUGGAGGAACACCAGUGGCGAAGGCGACUCUCUGGUCUGUAACUGACGCUGAGGAGCGAAAGCGUGGGGAGCGAACAGGAUUAGAUACCCUGGUAGUCCACGCCGUAAACGAUGAGUGCUAAGUGUUAGGGGGUUUCCGCCCCUUAGUGCUGCAGCUAACGCAUUAAGCACUCCGCCUGGGGAGUACGGUCGCAAGACUGAAACUCAAAGGAAUUGACGGGGGCCCGCACAAGCGGUGGAGCAUGUGGUUUAAUUCGAAGCAACGCGAAGAACCUUACCAGGUCUUGACAUCCUCUGACAAUCCUAGAGAUAGGACGUCCCCUUCGGGGGCAGAGUGACAGGUGGUGCAUGGUUGUCGUCAGCUCGUGUCGUGAGAUGUUGGGUUAAGUCCCGCAACGAGCGCAACCCUUGAUCUUAGUUGCCAGCAUUCAGUUGGGCACUCUAAGGUGACUGCCGGUGACAAACCGGAGGAAGGUGGGGAUGACGUCAAAUCAUCAUGCCCCUUAUGACCUGGGCUACACACGUGCUACAAUGGACAGAACAAAGGGCAGCGAAACCGCGAGGUUAAGCCAAUCCCACAAAUCUGUUCUCAGUUCGGAUCGCAGUCUGCAACUCGACUGCGUGAAGCUGGAAUCGCUAGUAAUCGCGGAUCAGCAUGCCGCGGGGAAUACGUUCCCGGGCCUUGUACACCCCGCCUGUCACACCGUAACAAGGUAGCCGUAGAGUUUCUCCUGGCUCAGCAAGUCGUAACAAGGUAGCCGUAGAGUUAACCCCCCG
rnacentral:rRNA from 1 species